UUGAAGAGUUUGAUCAUGGCUCAGAUUGAACGCUGGCGGCAGGCCUAACACAUGCAAGUCGAACGGUAACAGGAAACAGCUUGCUGUUUCGCUGACGAGUGGCGGACGGGUGAGUAAUGUCUGGGAAACUGCCCGAUGGAGGGGGAUAACUACUGGAAACGGUAGCUAAUACCGCAUAACGUCGCAAGACCAAAGAGGGGGACCUUCGGGCCUCUUGCCAUCGGAUGUGCCCAGAUGGGAUUAGCUAGUAGGUGGGGUAACGGCUCACCUAGGCGACGAUCCCUAGCUGGUCUGAGAGGAUGACCAGCCACACUGGAACUGAGACACGGUCCAGACUCCUACGGGAGGCAGCAGUGGGGAAUAUUGCACAAUGGGCGCAAGCCUGAUGCAGCCAUGCCGCGUGUAUGAAGAAGGCCUUCGGGUUGUAAAGUACUUUCAGCGGGAGGAAGGAGUAAAGUUAAUACCUUUGCUCAUUGACGUUACCCGCAGAAGAAGCACCGGCUAACUCCGUGCCAGCAGCCGCGGUAAUACGGAGGGUGCAAGCGUUAAUCGGAAUUACUGGGCGUAAAGCGCACGCAGGCGGUUUGUUAAGUCAGAUGUGAAAUCCCCGGCUCAACCGGGAACUGCAUCUGAUACUGGCAAGCUUGAGUCUCGUAGAGGGGGGUAGAAUUCCAGGUGUAGCGGUGAAAUGCGUAGAGAUCUGGAGGAAUACCGGUGGCGAAGGCGGCCCCCUGGACGAAGACUGACGCUCAGGUGCGAAAGCGUGGGGAGCAAACAGGAUUAGAUACCCUGGUAGUCCACGCCGUAAACGAUGUCGACUUGGAGGUUGUGCCCUUGAGGCGUGGCUUCCGGAGCUAACGCGUUAAGUCGACCGCCUGGGGAGUACGGCCGCAAGGUUAAAACUCAAAUGAAUUGACGGGGGCCCGCACAAGCGGUGGAGCAUGUGGUUUAAUUCGAUGCAACGCGAAGAACCUUACCUGGUCUUGACAUCCACGGAAGUUUUCAGAGAUGAGAAUGUGCCUUCGGGAACCGUGAGACAGGUGCUGCAUGGCUGUCGUCAGCUCGUGUUGUGAAAUGUUGGGUUAAGUCCCGCAACGAGCGCAACCCUUAUCCUUUGUUGCCAGCGGUCCGGCCGGGAACUCAAAGGAGACUGCCAGUGAUAAACUGGAGGAAGGUGGGGAUGACGUCAAGUCAUCAUGGCCCUUACGACCAGGGCUACACACGUGCUACAAUGGCGCAUACAAAGAGAAGCGACCUCGCGAGAGCAAGCGGACCUCAUAAAGUGCGUCGUAGUCCGGAUUGAGUCUGCAACUCGACUCCAUGAAGUCGGAAUCGCUAGUAAUCGUGGAUCAGAAUGCCACGGUGAAUACGUUCCCGGGCCUUGUACACACCGCCCGUCACACCAUGGGAGUGGGUUGCAAAGAAGUAGGUAGCUUAACCUUCGGGAGGGCGCUUACCACUUUGUGAUUCAUGACUGGGGUGAAGUCGUAACAAGGUAACCGUAGGGGAACCUGCGGUUGGAUCACCUCCUU
rnacentral:rRNA from 1 species